GAUGAACGCUGGCGGCGUGCCUAAUACAUGCAAGUCGAGCGACAGGACGAGAAGCUCUCUUCUCUGCUGUUAGCGGCGGACGGGUGAGUAACACGUGGAUAACCUACCUCUUUGACUGGGAUAACUUCGGGAAAUCGUAGCUAAUACCAGCUAAUAUUUUGAACCGCAUGGUUCAAAAGUGAAAGACGGUCUUGCUGUCACUUAUAGAUGGAUCCGCGCUGCAUUAGCUAGUUGGUAAGGUAACGGCCUACCAAGGCAACGAUGCGUAGCCGACCUGAGAGGGUGAUCGGCCACACUGGAACUGAGACACGGUCCAGACUCCUACGGGAGGCAGCAGUAGGGAAUCUUCGGCAAUGGGCGAAAGCCUGACGGAGCAAUACCGCGUGAGUGAAGAAGGUCUUCGGAUCGUAAAACUCUGUUAUUAGGGAAGAACAGAAGUGUAAGUAACUGUGCACGUCUUGACGGUACCUAAUCAGAAAGCAACGGCUAACUACGUG
rnacentral:rRNA from 1 species